rnacentral:lncRNA from 1 species
CCUGAUUCCUGGAUACCAGACUCUCAGCAGCAGGCAAGCAGGUAUAGCUCAGCAUAGCCUACAUGCUGCCAGCAUCACACAGCCACAAAGAAAACUAACUUUAAACUCCUUUUUCUCCCCCACAACUUUUCCUUGCAUACACUGCUUGCUUAAUCAGCUGCAGCUGAGGAUACCUAUCACAACUGAGCAAAGGAAGUGAAAUAUAAGGAAAAAAUAGUGUAGGAAGAUUCGCUGUGAAAAGAUUUCUUCCUAUAUAGCAUGUUCUCCAUGAUACUAUGAUGUUUCUCCAUAAAGGAAGCCUUUGGAUUGACCAGUAAGCACAUACUUUGAAAAAGACAAAAGCAAGAAGAAAUUAAAAAGAAAAAAAAAUCUUUAACCUGACUUAGACAGCUGCUCAGACAACCACAUGAAAACACCCUCACAAAGCGAACAGAAGAUGACUUUGGAGGUGCUGACUGAAAACAAGGGCAUCCUAUGAGAAGAGCUCUCCCCUCACCUCACCAAUGGUAACAGAUGCAGCUCAUUGCUUGGAAUACAAUUUACGGAUUUUUAUAAUAGAGAUCGUUGAUGAAAAGAUUGCAGUGGCUUGUCAGGAUUUGAAAUUCAGCAUGGAUCCUACUGUUACAUUGCUGUAUGAUGAUGCAAAAAGCAACAGGAUUUACAUUUACAGUUGCAGGUCCAUGAGCAAUUUUUGUUUUGCUUCCUGA